rnacentral:tRNA from 4 species
AGGUCAGUAGCCUAGGGGUUAGGCAACGGUCUCCAAAACCGUCUUACGAGGGUUCGAAUCCUUCCUGGCCUG